UACGUAGGGGGCAAGCGUUGUCCGGAAUCAUUGGGCGUAAAGAGCGUGUAGGCGGCUCGGUAAGUCCGCUGUGAAAGUCCAGGGCUCAACCCUGGAAUGCCGGUGGAAACUGUCGAGCUAGAGUCCGGAAGAGGCGAGUGGAAUUCCUGGUGUAGCGGUGAAAUGCGCAGAUAUCAGGAGGAACACCAAUGGCGAAGGCAGCUCGCUGGGACGGUACUGACGCUGAGAACGCGAAAGCGUGGGGAGCAAACAGG
rnacentral:rRNA from 1 species